rnacentral:rRNA from 1 species
ACAUGCAAGUCGAGCGGUAAGGCCCUUUCGGGGGUACACGAGCGGCGAACGGGUGAGUAACACGUGAGUAAUCUGCCCUUCACUUCGGGAUAAGCCUCGGAAACGGGGUCUAAUACCGGAUACGACACUUUUACGCAUGUAAUGGGUGUGGAAAGUUUUUUCGGUGGGGGAUGUGCUCGCGGCCUAUCAGCUUGUUGGUGGGGUAAUGGCCUACCAAGGCUUCGACGGGUAGCCGGCCUGAGAGGGUGACCGGCCACACUGGGACUGAGACACGGCCCAGACUCCUACGGGAGGCAGCAGUGGGGAAUAUUGGACAAUGGGCGGAAGCCUGAUCCAGCAACGCCGCGUGAGGGAUGACGGCCUUCGGGUUGUAAACCUCUUUCAGCGGGGACGAAGCGCAAGUGACGGUACCCGCAGAAGAAGCACCGGCCAACUACGUGCCAGCAGCCGCGGUAAUACGUAGGGUGCGAGCGUUGUCCGGAAUUAUUGGGCGUAAAGGGCUCGUAGGCGGUUUGUCGCGUCGGGAGUGAAAACGCCGGGCUUAACUCGGUGCUUGCUUUCGAUACGGGCAGACUAGAGGCAUGCAGGGGAGAACGGAAUUCCUGGUGUAGCGGUGAAAUGCGCAGAUAUCAGGAGGAACACCGGUGGCGAAGGCGGUUCUCUGGGCAUGUCCUGACGCUGAGGAGCGAAAGUGUGGGGAGCGAACAGGAUUAGAUACCCUGGUAGUCCACACCGUAAACGUUGGGCGCUAGGUGUGGGAUCCAUUCCACGGGUUCCG